rnacentral:lncRNA from 1 species
UCAUCUUCACACGUAACCCAACCCGCUGAUUUUUUUUAGAUAGCAUUCUUCUCGUUUCGUUUAUCCUUUUAAAAAAUAACUUAAUUGAAAAUACGAAUCAAUUAGGAUUCAAAUUUUAGACCUUGAGUUUCAAUCAUUAAGCCCUUUGUCACUUGCGUUAGAGACGAUCGGUCAACCCGCUCAUUUUUAUUCAUUUUUUUUUUAAAAAAAUUCAAAUAUCGCCCAUUUGGUUUCAUAUUUUUUUUAUUUUAAUACUCUAUAAUUUAAAUUGUAUCACUUUCAUACUCUAUAAUUUUAUUUUAUUUUUUUUGUCAUAUCCUCCAUUAAUUUUUUUCGUUCAAUCGGUGACAAAGUAAAUAUUCAAUAACUAUAAGUGGGGUAUGAAGUUUUUUGUAUGCGAUGAUUUAAUGAAAAAGUUAACGAAGAGACUGACGAAAAAAGAAAAAUAAAAUCACAAGAUACUGAAUUGAUAGACUUUAAAUAAUAUAAUAAUAUUAAAGUGAGAAAGUGCAAAAUCACAGGAGUGAUAUUUAAAGUUUAUCCUAUUUUCUCAAAAUAAAUAAAUAAAGUUAGAAAUGUGAAAUAGUUAGACUCUACUGUUGGAAGGAGAAGAGUAUUAAACUAAAAACUUUAUUAAAUAUUCUUGAACUUAUCAAAAAUAUUAGGUUACUUAUUAACAUCUACAGCUAUUAUAAAUCUGCGACUUGUUUCGAUAUUGUGCGUAUAUGAAUCAAUAAU